rnacentral:lncRNA from 1 species
CAGAGAAAGAGCAGGUAAAGUUGUGCAUGAUGGGCAAAGGAAUCUCCUGAGAUACUUCAGAGGGACCAGGACUGGAGUGAACAGCUGCAUUCAAGGGAGACUGAUUGCUCAGCCUCCACUCAAGAGGCUGCCCCAGGAGCAAUUAGGAGUUAGGAAUUAAGAGACUGACCAUGUCUAAUUGAGCAAAGCUGAGAGAGACCUACAUCAGAGGAGUGGAAUGAUGGACAAGCCAGUGUGGGAAGCAGAGAGCAUUAGUGGUUCCUGAGGCUUUCUCUCCCUACGUUGCCAUUGUGGUGAAUGGGCAGAGCUCUGGCUAAUCUUUUCCCUCCCAGUUUCUUCUUGAAGCUUGUGACUUCACCCCUCCUCCCUGAGUGGACUAUGAAGAUACUCUUGUUUUCUUUCUCAGAAUAGAUUCUCUCUGUGACAGAUUGAUUCUGUGGCCUUGACUUCCCAGAAGCCCUGUAAAAUCCUUGGAUGAGUGCUCAUGGGGAGAAGUUCUGGAGCCCUUGUCCCGACCAUUGGUCCCCAUCAGCUUGCUCCACUGGAGAAGGGAGGAGUAUGGUGGAAUGCACAUGAAUGCCAAAUUCCCUUUUCAUAUACCGAGAAGGAUUCUCCUCUAAAGAACUCAGAACUUGUGGAAAUGACUGGGAGUGACAGAGAGGCAAUUUUUGGCUCGAUAAAAGGAAAACCCUUCAGUUUGGAUGCCAUGACUAGGAUGAGUUCUACUUCACUAGAGGUUUCCAAACAAAGCCUGGAUGGAAGAUAUCAUUUGAGAUGUUGUAGAAGGGAUUCGUGGACCAGUAUAGACUGGGCUAGAGAGAUGACGGCCCUUCCAACUCAGAGAUUCUGAAUUUCUGUGAAACCACAAAAUUGUGCCAGACACCAGACCCUGCAAUAAAAGUCUUGAC